rnacentral:rRNA from 1 species
GACGUAGGGCGCGAGCGUUGUCCGGAUUUAUUGGGCGUAAAGAGCGUGUAGGCGGUCCGGUAAGUCAGCUGUGAAAGUCAAGGGCUCAACCCUUGAAAGCCGGUGGAUACUGCUGGGCUAGAGUCCGGAAGAGGCGAGUGGAAUUCCUGGUGUAGCGGUGGAAUGCGCAGAUAUCAGGAGGAACACCAACGGCGAAGGCAGCUCGCUGGGACGGUACUGACACUGAGGCGCGAAAGCGUGGGGAGCGAACAGG